rnacentral:rRNA from 1 species
UACAGAGGGUGCGAGCGUUGUCCGGAAUCACUGGGCGUAAAGGGCGCGUAGGUGGCCUGGUAAGUAGGGGGUGAAACCCUGCGGCUUAACUGCAGGACUGCCUCCUAGACUGCUAGGCUCGAGCACGGUAGAGGCUGGUGGAAUUCCCGGUGUAGCGGUGGAAUGCGUAGAGAUCGGGAAGAACAUCGGUGGCGAAGGCGGCCAGCUGGGCCGUUGCUGACACUGAGGCGCGACAGCGUGGGGAGCAAACAGG